AUUGAACGCUGGCGGCAUGCCUAACACAUGCAAGUCGAACGGCAGCACGGUCUAGCUUGCUAGACGGGUGGCGAGUGGCGAACGGGUGAGUAACGCGUAGGAAUAUACCUUGAAGUGGGGGACAACCUGGGGAAACUCAGGCUAAUACCGCGUAAUCUCUUCGGAGGGAAGCUGGGGACCGCAAGGCCUGGCGCUUUAAGAUUAGCCUGCGUCCGAUUAGCUAGUUGGUGGGGUAAAGGCCUACCAAGGCGACGAUCGGUAGCUGGUCUGAGAGGAUGAUCAGCCACACUGGGACUGAGACACGGCCCAGACUCCUACGGGAGGCAGUAGUGGGGAAUAUUGGACAAUGGGGGGAACCCUGAUCCAGCAAUGCCGCGUGUGUGAAGAAGGCCUGAGGGUUGUAAAGCACUUUCGGCGGGGAGGAGGAUGAGUUGGUUAAGAGCUGACUUAUUGGACGUUACCCGCAUAAGAAGCACCGGCUAACUCCGUGCCAGCAGCCGCAGUAAUAC
rnacentral:rRNA from 1 species